ensembl:lncRNA
AUGUUGAGCUGGAGCUCCUUCCUUUUGGAGUCCUUCUGUUAGCCCAGGACAUGGGACUGAUCCAGGACACUAGCCCCACUUUCCUUGAACUUACUUUUGGAUCCAUGGAGCAGUCAAAUAUGACUAAAAUUGCUGAUAUCUGGGGACUAGCAGUGCUGAAAAAUAUGUGCAAAAAUAUGUUUCAGAUGAAGAGGAGCUCUUCUGCAGGAGCUCUUUCAGCAGCUGAACUGCUGCUGCAGCAACACACGUGUUCUCCAAAUAAUACUUACCUUUUGUAUCUACUAGUAGUCCUAAGAAACUAUGUCAACAGAAAAUUUCAGAGCAAACAUGGAUACUGUGGGGCUACUAAGUGAUAGUAGUAUCAAUAUUAUAACAGACAGCAUUGUUAAACAAGACACAAAUAAAAAGAAAAUACCUGUACAGACUCUGGUAUAUAUUAUUUCAAAUAGUCACAGAUUUGCUUCCAGUUUGCUUUUCUGGCCUUCUUUAGUCCAGUAAAUAUCAAAGACACGAGUAUUCAUGUAAGAUGACUUGCAUUACAGCAUCUGUUAUUGUAUUUUCCUUGGAGCAGUGGCUUUGUUUAUUCAAAUGGGCUGAAAUUAUCCUAAUGGAUGUAACCUCUACUACUGGCAUUAUCAAAUUCCUAUGUACACUGUUUUUCCAUCACUCAAAGCAAGUUAUCCUUGUUUCCACUGCUUGACAAAGGGUUUUGAUUUACAGCCAGCCAGAUUUUUGCAGACACAAUGGAUUUGCAAUACAAUAUCUGAGUAAUGUCAUCUUCUAUUUAAUGGUUUGGCUGAGAAAUUGGUGGAAUGAUUCAAAUAGGGCAGGCUGAAGAUGAAGCUUUGAAUUGGUCAAUUUUGCCUUAGUUUCAUCAGUCUGUUAAAACAUAUAGCUUUCCUAUAAGUGGAUAUUUGAGUCAUACAACACACUACCUUGUGCCUGCCAAUUUAAUUUCUUGCUACUCAUUCCAGAUUUCACCUGCACUCUGUAGUUUAACUCUGUAUUUUAAAUAUUUUGGCUUAGGGAUAGAGUGACAAUUUAACCAUGAUAUCUCACAUGUUCAAGGCACUGGCUGUAGAUGUUGUUUAGAUUGCUUAGUUGAUAUGACCACUGCUGUAUCUAAAUGGUGUCUACUAUUAGAAACCUUUCUUUUGGAUCUCUUAAUUACUGUGACGUUCCUCUUAUUUCAAUGAAUGGAUGGAUCAUUCCUUUGUAUAACAUUAUCUGCAUUAUGAAGGGAAUAGUUCUUCUGAAGAUCUUGGUUUCAGCCAGUCUGAUAUGUGUAUACUGUCUUCUAGUUGUGUUGAAUUUCAUAAAGCCAAAGUCCAUGUUGUUGAAAAGCCAGCUCACUUUUCUGCUAGUCUCCACCCAUAGACUCAGAUGGAAAAGCAAGCAAAAACAGUGGAAUAUCAAGGCGAUUUGGCUUCAGAAGAAGUUGAGCUAGGAAUACAAGUUCUGACUGCUAAAUUUUACUUUCUUUUGCACAAGGCCAGAGGCUUCUUUUGUACCACAGCAAUUAUUCCACUGUGUUGACUGUAUGUCUUGCACAGGAACUCUGGACUACUGUAGCCACAAACCACAGAGCCUGAAUCUCCUGGGCAUAAAGUGGACAAGGUAUAUGGAAAACCAAAAGUGUGUCCUUGAGAAGAUCUAGACGUUCAGAAGAUAUAGCUGUCAGGAUUUUCAAAAUUGUUAUGGAUUUUUGUUGGUGAAUUACUCUAUUAUAAUUGUAAGCAAGUCAUUUCUAGCUACUUCAGAGCUACUACUGUAUACUUUCUAGUUAUAAUAUCCUUUUUGGCACAGAGUUAUGCCUAUAAUGGAGAAAUGCAUGACAAAUUUGUGUAUUCAUUGUAACUCACUGUGUGAAAAUUAUUCAUUUGAAGGAAGAAAAUACACUCAUUUUCUUUAUUUGGUUAUAUUCGUGCUAAAUUUAUAUUGUGGAGUUUCAUCUAUUUGUGCCAUGACUGAAUUUUGACCUUUGCAUGUGAAAACAUCUCAGCAGUCCAAGUUACCAUAGGAAUUUCCUGUCAUCACACAGCAAUAAAGUACAAAUAGUGCCAGCGCUGUGGAAAUUUCUUCUUAGCAUGAUCAUAUUUAUGCAAAUACAAGAGUCCAAAAUCUGCUGCUAUACCUCCCCUCUAAGUUUUGAGUUAAAUUUUGAUACUUGAAAAAAGAAUAAAUUGUUUUAACUAAUUAG